UAUUGGGCAAUGGGGGCAACCCUGACCCAGCGACGCCGCGUGGGGGAAGACGGCCUUCGGGUUGUAAACCUCUUUUGUACGGGAAGAAGGAAGUGACGGUACUGUACGAAUAAGUCCCGGCUAACUACGUGCCAGCAGCCGCGGUAAUACGUAGGGGACGAGCGUUGUCCGGAAUUACUGGGCGUAAAGGGCGCGCAGGCUGUGCUGCGAGUCAGCUGUUAAAUGUCUGGGCUUAACCCGGGCAUGCGGUUGAGACUGCGGUGCUGGAGUGCNGUAGAGGCAAGUGGAAUUCCCAGUGUAGCGGUGAAAUGCGUAGAUAUUGGGAAGAACACCGGUGGCGAAGGCGACUUGCUGGGCAGCAACUGACGCUGAGGCGCGAAAGCCAGGGGAGCAAACGGGAUUAGAUACCCCGGUAGUCCUGGCCGUAAACGAUGAAUGCUAGGUGUGGGUGUAGAGAUACAUUCGUGCCGGAGUUAACGCGAUAAGCAUUCCGCCUGGGGAGUACGGUCGCAAGAUUGAAACUCAAAGGAAUUGACGGGGGCCCGCACAAGCGGUGGAGCACGUGGUUUAAUUCGAUGCAAACCGAAGAACCUUAC
rnacentral:rRNA from 1 species